rnacentral:lncRNA from 1 species
GAAAACUCUUGUAUGACAAUGCUUUGCCGUCAAUUUUUACCGAAUCUAAAGAUAUCUGCGCGAAUACGUCUGAGGAGCCGCCGAAAAAAGUUCAAAUAUUGUCAGAUAAUAGAAUAACGCCUGCGGCGGAAAAUUUACAGUUAAUAUCCUCUAAACAAGUUUCUAUCAGCCCCAA